rnacentral:hammerhead_ribozyme from 1 species
AUCCAGCCGACGAGUCAAAAAUAAAACGAAACAUGUGUCUUGAAU